rnacentral:rRNA from 1 species
UACAGAGACUGCAAGCGUUAUUCGGAUUCACUGGGCGUAAAGGGUGCGCAGGCGGCCAAGUGUGUUAGGCGUGAAAGCCCGGGGCUUAACCCCGGAAUUGCACCUAAAACUACAUGGCUAGAGCAUUGGAGAGGGUAGCGGAAUUCACGGUGUAGCAGUGAAAUGCGUAGAUAUCGGGAAGAACACCCGUGGCGAAGGCGGCUCUCUGGGACGGUACUGACGCUGAGACGCGAAAGCGUGGGGAGCAAACAGG